AUUAUUUAUUUAUAUCCGCACUUUAUUCUUGUAACCGCAUUUUUAGUAUAGCCGCAUAAUUUUACUUAAUUGUUACUGCAUUUAUAGUAUAACCGCGUAUGUAUAUUUUUUUUCUGUAACUGCAUCUUAAAUUUUUAAUUGCUCCACCUCGCGACCCUCUCUUUUGUUAGUUAGCCUAUUUAGGCUGAUUAUUCCUGCGUGUUGAAAGGCAUUGCCUUUCAAGGCGGGGGAUGCUGUUUGGGCCAUUUUCGCUGUUUCCUUCCGGUUGGCGGAAAUGCUUAUGACGUACGAGGAAGCACGAUCCUUGUUGUUGUCUAUGCUCGUGCGCGCAUCGGCCGUGCCCUUUAAUCGACCGAUAUUUUGCGACGUGGGUGGACGUAAUCUGUUUUUAUAAUAACCGCUAAGGUGUGACCAUAAGUUCGCGUGUGACCUUAUUUCGAGUUACAUAUAACUCGAA